UCCUGUUGGGCGGAGCCUAUGACAUAGAGUGCGAAAGUUGUUCGGCUCAAUGAGAUCUAUAAGUGUACUGAGUUUCAUAUAAAUACAUGAAAGUGUGUGUGAGCUAUGGUUCAAGAUUUCUGACUGUGUUCCAGGGGGCGCUGUAGAGCCCCUGUGCCACGCCCGGGUCCCAGUCUCUGUGGCGUCCUGAUGGCCGCAGAUUCCAAUGUGUGUGCCAAUUUUCAAGAGUUUUUGAGCAUGUUAAGGCCUCCAAAACCCCCCGGAAGGUUUAAUAAAAAAUAAAAAAAGUAAUAAUAAGAAGAAGAAUAAUCCUUAGAAGAACAAUAGGGCUCUUCGCCCCUUCGGGCUUGAGCCCUAAUAAUAAGAAGAAGAAGAAUCCUUAGGGGAACAAUAGGGCUCUUCGCCCCUUCGGGCUUGAGCCCUAAUAAACGGAGCAAUUCCAAGAGGGUCCUCGCACCAUCGGUGCUCGGGCGCUAAUUAAAGCUGCAAGCAGCAAUGAACGGGCCCUCGCACCCGGGCUCACCGGCAGUGAGUGGCUUUAGUAAAUUGGUGAACGGUGAGAAAUAUGCAUUCAAACUCAUAAAUAUAAGUGGAAAAUAUCAACAUUUAUUCCACAUAUGUGCCAAUCUUCCUGGUGCCAGCAGGUGGUGCUAUCAUUAUAAUGGAAUAUUGGCCUUCAAAUGUGUUCCGGGCAGGACUCUCAUCGAACAUGUGAAGUUUGGGGAAGAUCGAACAAAUUAUGCCUGAGUUACAACAACUUCUCUUGCUGUGGCGAGACAUCAAAAUUUGUCAUGGCGCCAUGGACACGCCCUUUAACAAAAACUCAAGAUCUCCACAAGUUAACAUUGCACAGGCCUUUAGAUUAGACUGAAUACAAAAAAUACUUUAAUCUAAAAAAAAAUCUAGGAGUAGUUUGUCGCAGCCUAAAACAUGUCACUUCCUGUUGCCAGCAGGUGGCGCUAUGACUAUAACUGAAAAUGGGCAUGUAGAUCUGUUAAGGGCAGAAGUCUUAUCUAACAUGUGAAGUUUGGGGCAGAUUGGACAUUGUAUGUCUGAGUUACAGCAACUUCCUUUUUCAUGGCGAAACAUCGAAAUUUGGCAGGCCGCCAUGGACACGCCCUUUAACGAAACCUCAAGAUCUUCGCAAUUUAACAUCACAAAGGCCUUUAGAUUACACUGACCAAGUUUGGUGUUGAUCUGAAUAAAUCUCUAGGAGGAGUUCGUUAAAGUACAACCCCUGAAAAUGGCAAAAACAACGCCAAUUUUGCAGAGAAAAUUCUAAAUAACCGACUUCCUGUUGGGAUUCGGAUUUCGUACCAAGAGACUUUUUUGUAGGUAUUGGUGUGUUACAUGUGUAUACCGAUUUUUGUACAUGUACGUGAAACAUAGCUCGAGGCGCACUCUGUUGAAAGUGUAUAGGUGGCGCUAUCGAGCCAUUUUGCCACACCUGAUGGAAUUUUGGCCUUCAGAUGUGUUCAGGCCAGGACUCUUAUCACACAUGUGCAGUUUGGGGAAGAUCGGACAUUUUAUGCCUGAGUUAUAACAUCUUUUAUUCCCAUGGCGAGACAUCGAACUUCGUGACGGCGCCAUGGACAUGCCUUUUAACGAAAACUCAAGAUCUUCACAACUUAACAUCGCACAGGCCUUUAGAUUAGACUGACCACAAAAAACACAUUGAUGUCAUAAAAUUUCUAGGAGUAGUUCAUCGCAGUGUAAAAUAUGUCACUUCCUGUUGCCAGUAGGUGGCGCUAUGACUAUAACUGAAUAUGGGCAUGUCAAUCUGUUCAGGUCAGGAGUCUCAUCAAACAUGUGAAGUUUGGGGCAGAUUGGUCAUUGUAUGUCUGAGUUAUAGCAACUUCCUGUUUCAUGGCGAAUCAUCGAAAUUCGCCAGGCCGCCACGGACACGCCCAUUAACGAAAACUCAAAAACUUCGCAAUUUAACAUCGCAAAGGCCUUCAGAUUAGGCAUACCAAAUUUGGUGUUGAUCUGAAUGAAUCUCUAGGAGGAGUUCGUUAAAAUACAACGCAUGGAAAUGGCAAAAAUGACACAAAAUUUGCUCAUAAUAUUAGAAAUAACCGACUUCCUGUUGGGUUUCGGAUUUUGCUCCAAGAGACUUUUUUGUAGGUAUUGGAGAGUUACAUGUGUAUACCGAUUUUCAUACAUGUACAUGAAACGUAGCUCGAGGCGCACACCGUUGAACAUGUAUAGGUGGCGCUGUUGAGCCAUUUUGCCACACCCACUUCUGAAACCCAUAUCAGACGUAAAUUUUCGCCAGUUCUGAGGUGUGUGCAAAGUUUCAUGACUUUUCGAGCAUGUUUAGGCCCUCAAAAAUGCGAUUCAUUUUGGAGAAGAAUAAUAAUAAUAAUAAUAAUAAUAAUAAUAAUAAUAAUAAUAAACGGAGCAAUUCCAAGAGGGUCCUCACACCAUCGGUGCUCGGGCCCUAAUAAUAAACGGAGCAAUUCCAAGAGGGUCCUCGCACCAUCGGUGCU